GAUGAACGCUGGCGGCGUGCUUAACACAUGCAAGUCGAACGAAGCAUUUAGGACAGAUUACUUCGGUUUGAAGUUCUUUAUGACUGAGUGGCGGACGGGUGAGUAACGCGUGGGUAACCUGCCUUGUACUGGGGGAUAGCAGCUGGAAACGGCUGGUAAUACCGCAUAAGCGCACAAUGUUGCAUGACAUGGUGUGAAAAACUCCGGUGGUAUAAGAUGGACCCGCGUCUGAUUAGCUAGUUGGUGAGAUAACAGCCCACCAAGGCGACGAUCAGUAGCCGAACUGAGAGGGUGACCGGCCACAGUGGGACUGAGACACGGCCCAGACUCCUACGGGUGGCAGCAGUGGGGAAUAUUGCACAAUGGAGGAAACUCUGAUGCAGCGACGACGCGUGAGUGAAGAAGUAAUUCGUUAUGUAAAGCUCUAUCAGCAGGGAAGAUAGUGACGGUACCUGACUAAGAAGCUCCGGCUAAAUACGUG
rnacentral:rRNA from 1 species